AGGUGCUUGAUGGACAGUGAGAAGCUAAGCCUGGAAAGCUGUGGCUAAGCAACCCAGAGGCAAUAGUUACUGACUGCUUCCCAUGUGUUGGGCAGUUUAUCUUUUCACUCAUGUGUCUCAUCACUGGAAAUGUGGGUCUGGAGAGAGAGAAGGAGGACUGAAUUUGUCUUCCUGUAGGAGUAGCUGAACUGCCCACGAAGCUGUUAUUGAACUGUCACACUUUACAGCCCAGUUUAUUUAGAAAGCUUGUCACUGGAAACAGAAGAGCGUCCUUCCUUCAAAAGAGGCAAGUAUAUAAUACUAUUAAGCAGCGCAGUGUAAUGAAUGUAAUUAAUUGCUUUAUAAUACUUUAAAUUCCUACAUCUCUGAAGCGCUCAGUGCUCUUCAUCCAAUCCAGCCAUGUAUCACUUUUGAAAUACUUCAAAGGAGAAAAGAGAUUUUUAUGAUACAUCCUUAAGUCUUCUGAUGAUUACACAUGCUGUAACCUAUUUCUUCAUAAAUGUAUUCUGUCUUUAAUUUUGUCCUCUUCAAGAUACAAUCAUCCUAGUGUCCUUUUAUUCAUAAAGAUUGUUCCUUUACAUACUUUCUCUGUCUUACCUAUUUGUUAAUUCUUUUUCUCUGUGAUAUCAAGCAUACUUCAUUUCAUGCUUCGUUGUCCAGGUUUUAGUUUCAGCUCCAGUAUAUUAAAUAUUC